rnacentral:pre_miRNA from 1 species
GAUGCACCGGUGGGGUCCCUCGGCUUGGCCUGCGUCCUCUUGCAAUCCAGGACCUCUCGGAGGAUGUCGGAGAGCCAGCUUCGGCCCAAUCCCUGCAGGCCAGGCCGAGGGACCCCACCGGUGCACA